AAGACCUAAAGAGACCAUGAGACAGUCAACAACACAAAAGCAUGAGAUGCUCUGCAGCAACAGUUCUCCAGGGCUGAGAUCAAGUCCUGUCUCCUCUCUAAUCCAACGCCCGUCAUUCGCACUGACAGAAGUGAACCUUCAGAAUCCAAGAGUCAUUCGCCAGAAAUGUUACAAGAGCAAAGUUAAUUCUGCCUGUCUGCCCCAAGUGAAUGAAGGUUCCGCCCCACCCACUGAUGAGCUGGGAAGCCUCCUGUCUCAGUUAGGUUCUCCUGGAAGCCAUGAACACGCUGGUGUCUUUGCACGUUCUUUCUCUCCUCCCUGACUCCGUCUAAGCAGAUUGAAAACUUAGUUUCUGAGCCCUGAAGCAAACAGAGAAGAGCAGCCAGCCUCCCGCGGAAGCUCUUCACAGUCUCCCAGGGAUUUCCAGUCAUGGCCAACAUCUUUGUUACAGGACGGAAUCCAGCAACCACUCGCAACCUUAGCAUAAAGCAGUAGCCAAGUCUUACGGGCUAGUUACGAAUAUCAGAUGUGCGGUGACUAUCCACGGGCUUAGAGUGAGUUGGGCAUAUUUAAGUUAUGAAAGAUGUGUUUAUUUCCCCUGGACCCCAAAUAAAUGUCAGCGACAGCUCCAAG
rnacentral:lncRNA from 1 species